rnacentral:rRNA from 1 species
UACGGAGGAUGCGAGCGUUAUCCGGAUUCAUUGGGUUUAAAGGGUGCGCAGGCGGACGAUCAAGUCAGCGGUGAAAUGCAGGGGCUCAACCCCUGACGUGCCGUUGAAACUGGUUGACUAGGAUACGUAUGCUGUGGGAGGAAUGUGUAGUGUAGCGGUGAAAUGCAUAGAUAUUACACAGAACACCGAUUGCGAAGGCAUCUCACAAAUACGUCAUUGACGCUGAGGCACGAAAGUGCGGGGAU